UUCCCAUGGCUUUUGGUUAUCAUGGACAGCCAGCUGAAAGGAACAUGUGAUGACGAUGAUGAUGGUGUAAUCUAAGGAAUAGGAGGCAGAGGGGGGACAAGGAAGAAAAAGGAAAAGAAAGAUCAGUCCUUCCCAUCAAAGGAAUCGUUCUUGUGGCUCAUCUCCCUUUUUUUUUUUUUCAACUAAUUUGAAAAUACUGUUAAUUAUAUAGGUGUUUAAAAAUGUAAAAAAUUAUAAAAAUGAAUCAUUAAUGUGUAAAUAUGAAAUUACUUGCAGGAGAAUAUGUAGGUUGCUCAUUGGGAUUUUGACUGUAAUUAACUACGUGCUUGAUGCAAGAGAGUACUAAAAAGAGGACCAUAUAGAUCUUUGGUUACAUUGUUGUUCGACAACAAAGUAUGUUUUUUAAGGAAGCAGGUAGUCUUGGGGAGCAUUUUGGGAUAUAAUAUAGUCUUUUGCUUUCUCAGCUAAACAAGAGAUCGCAUGAGGAGAGGAUACAAAAGAAGUUGACGUUUUAGGGUUUUGUGGAAACUUUGCUGCCAAAUAUAGAAACUCUUGAACUAGUUUGAGUCUGGUGAAAGAUGCGAAACAUGUGGAGUAAUAUUCGCAGCAGCGGAAGGCUAUCGACAGAAGAGAUCAAUGAGGAAGAGGAAAUUCCAAGACUGGACAUAUCUAAGUUUCAAGCAGGAGAAGAAGAGACUGAUUUUUUUAUGUAUGACUGAUCCUUUUGAGGAUAGAUGUUGCGAUUGUACCUAAGAAGAACAUUGACAUGGCAAAUAGAGAGUUGAAACGGCCUGUAGGUCAGAGCUGCCAAAAGAAGGUGUAACAGAUGCUCCUAUUCCUAUUUUGUGCAAGUUUUCUUUUCCUAAAUAAGAUAAUUCUGAUUGUCUACAGGAGAAACAAUACAAGGAAGCCCUGGAAUCUUUCAAUGAAAAGAACCAAGGAAAAAGCUCGGCUAGGCACAACUUUCUCUGAUUCUUCUUCAUUUUUUUAUCUUUUUCUUGGCGGCUGCUGACUGAGAGUGAAAGACAAGGGAUGAAGAAGCUGGAAGAACUGAACAAGAUCAUGGAGUCCAAACGCUGAAUAUCUCUGCCUUCUAUGAUCUCACUGCGAGUUAUUGUAUUCAUUACGUUCUGAUUUUUCCUUUCAAAACUUCUUUUUUUUAUGUGCUUCGUUCAAUGAUGUUGUGUUUCUUCAUUGAAUUUAACCUAGUUCAAGCUAGUAGCCAAAAGCAAGCCCUGCGCUAAAACCAUAAAGGUCUGACUUAAAUGCAAAGAAAUGCAUGACCAUGGAUCAGGGCUUGAUUAAAUUCAUUGUCUUUGUAAACCCAUUUUAGAGAUUAAGGAAGUUAGGGGAAAGCAUGUUUGAUCCACUUGUAAUUCAUGUAUUAUGAAUCAAUCAAGAAGAAAAUUAUAUCUUA